rnacentral:misc_RNA from 1 species
AACGCACCUUGCGCCCCUUGGCUAUUCCGAGGGGCAUGCCUGUUUGAGUAUCAUGAACAUCUCAACUCUCAUGCUUUGCCAUGAUGAGCUUGGACUUUGGGGGGUUUUGCUGGCCUAUUGUCAGCUCCUCUGAAACAGAUCAGCUUGCCAGUAUUUGGUGGCGUCACAGGUGUGAUAACUAUCUACGCUUGCGAUCGUUUGCCAAGUAACCUUCGGUGAUGAAGGUUUGCUGGAGCUUACAAACGUCUCUCCUCAGCGAAGACAGCUUUGACCGUUCGAUCUCAAAUCAGGUAGGACUACCCGCUGAACUUAA